AACGGUCUAUACCUGCGGUACCUGCGGAAGGAUCAUUACAUGGCGGAGAAGGUGGGCAACCUGGCCAACAUCCAGGUUGUGAUGCCUUCACGCUCUUCCACCCUUGUCUAUUUGCACCUUCUGUCGUUCCCUCGGCGGGUUUCGACCCGCCGGCGGCAACAUUGAAAAACCCUUUUUGCAGUUAGCAUUCAAUUCUUCUGAUCAAAUAUUAAAUCAUUACAACUUUCAACAAUGGAUCUC
rnacentral:misc_RNA from 1 species